UACGUAGGGUGCGAGCGUUGUCCGGAUUUAUUGGGCGUAAAGGGCUCGUAGGCGGCCUGUCGCGUCGGGAGUGAAAGCCCACUGCUUAACGGUGGGUCUGCUUCCGGUACGGGUGGGCUGGAGUAUGGCAGGGGAGACUGGAAUUCCUGGUGUAGCGGUGGAAUGCGCAGAUAUCAGGAGGAACACCGGUGGCGAAGGCGGGUCUCUGGGCCAUUACUGACGCUGAGGAGCGAAAGCGUGGGGAGCGAACAGG
rnacentral:rRNA from 1 species